rnacentral:sRNA from 1 species
UGGUACGUGCUGGACUUUUCUUUGGCGUG